UUGAAUUUGAUAAAAAUAUCUUUUUCUCUCUGUGUAAGGUGCUCCAUUUUGAGAUCGUUCUCCAUACAUGAUCUUGAGUCUCUAAUAAUCUCUUUCAAGAGCUGAGCAUUGUUUGUGUGUUGACACUCAAAGAUUCUGCUACAUCUUUCCUUCCACAUCCACCAAAUAGCGCAUCUGAAUAUAACCUUUGUCAAUUGUGUAAGAGGCCUUUUUCUUGAAAAUCAUUGCAUGAGGUCAGCUAAUUCUUGAUGCAAGUUUGGUUGCAGCAUUCUAUUGAGUUCGAAUCGCUGGAGAAUCUCCUUCCAUAUCCAUUUAGUAUAGUCACAAGCAAAAUAGAGAUGGUCAACAGUUUCUUCUUGUUGCAUGCAAAGGGAGC
rnacentral:lncRNA from 1 species